AUGCUCCUGGUGCUCAUCCCACUGCUGGGGAUACAUUUUGUCCUGAGUGAGAACUGUCAGAGCCCAGUCAGUGACCCAGCCUGACAUCCGCAUCACUGUCUCUGAAGGAGCCUCACUGGAGUUGAGAUGUAACUAUUCCUAUGGGGCGAUGUUGUGGGAAGUCAGGGACCCCAAACGGAGGGACCGGCUGAAGCCAUGGCAGAAGAAUGUGGAUUGUGAAGAUUUCAUGGACAUUUAUUAGUUCCCCAAAUUAAUACUUUUAUAAUUUCUUAUGCCUCUCUUUACUGCAAUCUCUAAACAUAAAUUGUAAAGAUUUCAUGGACACUUAUCACUUCCCCAAUCAAUACCCCUGUGAUUUCCUAUGCCUGUCUUUACUUUAAUCUCUUAAUCCUGUCAGCUGAGGAGGAUGUAUGUCACCUCAGGACCCUGUGAUAAUUGUGUUAACUGCACAAAUUAUAGAGCAUGUGUGUUCAAACAAUAUGAAAUCUGGGCACCUUGAAAAAAGAACAGGAUAACAGCAAUGUUCAGGGAAUAAGAGAGAUAACCUUAAACUCUGACUGCCAGUGAGCCAGGCGGAACAGAGCCAUAUUUCUCUUCUUUCAAAAGCAAAUGGGAGAAAUAUGGCUGAAUUCUUUUUCUCAGCAAGGAACAUCCCUGGGGAAGAGAAUACGUGCCUGGGGGUGGGUCUAUAGACGGCCCCCUUGGGUGUGGCCAUCUUCUAUAGUCAAAACUGUAGGGGUGAAAUAAAUCCCAGUCUCCCAUAGCACUCCCAGGCUUAUUAGGAAGAGGAAAUUCCCACCUAAUAAAUUUUGGUCAGACUGGCUGCUCUCAAAACCCUGUCUCCUGAUAAGAUGUUAUCAAUGACAAUGGUGCCCGAAACUUCAUUAGCAAUUUUAAUUUCGCCCCAGUCCUGUGGUCCUGUGAUCUCGCCCUGCCUCCAUUUGCCUUGUGAUAUUCUAUUACCUUGUGAAGUACAUGAUCUCUGUGACCCACACCUAUUCAUACACUCCCUCCCCUUUUGAAAAUCAGUAAUAAAAACUUGCUGGUUUUGCGGCUUGUGGGGCAUCACGGAACCUACCGACAUGUGAUUUCUCCCCCGGACUCCCAGCUUUAAAAUUUCUCUCUUUUGUACUCUGUCCCUUUAUUUCUCAAGCCAGCCAAAACUUAGGGAAAAUAGAAAAGAACCUAUGUGACUAUCGGGGCAGGUUCCCCAAUACGGCAACACCUUCUCUCUUCUGGCAUGUCCAGUCCCCCGGCCAAGGCCUCCAGCUGCUCCUAAAGUACUUUUCAGGAGACACUCUGGUUCAAGGCAUUGAAGGCUUUGAAGCUGAAUUUAAGAGGAGUCAAUCUUCCUUCAACCUGAGGAGACCCUCUGUGCAUUGGAGUGAUGCUGCUGAGUACUUCUGUGCUGCAGGUAC